rnacentral:rRNA from 1 species
UACAGAGGGGGCAAGCGUUAUUCGGAAUUAUUGGGCGUAAAGGGCGCGUAGGCGGCUUUGCAAGUGACGGGUGAAAUCCCUCGGCUUAACCGAGGAACUGCCUGUCAGACUGUAAGGCUUGAGACCGGGAGAGGUGAGUGGAAUUCCCAGUGUAGCGGUGAAAUGCGUAGAUAUUGGGAGGAACACCAGUGGCGAAGGCGGCUCACUGGACCGGUACUGACGCUGAGGCGCGAAAGCGUGGGGAGCAAACAGG